GUCCACGCCGUAAACGAUGAAUGCUAGCCGUUGGUGGGUUUACCCUUCAGUGGCGCAGCUAACGCUUUAAGCAUUCCGCCUGGGGAGUACGGUCGCAAGAUUAAAACUCAAAGGAAUUGACGGGGGCCCGCACAAGCGGUGGAGCAUGUGGUUUAAUUCGACGCAACGCGCAGAACCUUACCAGCUCUUGACAUGUCCAGGACCGGCCGCAGAGAUGUGGUCUUCCCUUCGGGGCCUGGAACACAGGUGCUGCAUGGCUGUCGU
rnacentral:rRNA from 1 species